rnacentral:tRNA from 2 species
GCUAUCGUAACUUAGGUAAAGUGUAAUACUGAAGAUAUUAAGACGGGCCCUAGAAAGCCCCGAAAGCA